UUUUUUAUUCUGUGUUGAAAUUCUCAUUCUGGCACUUUCACUCCUGGCAGAAGUCCAAUGUGCAUCGUUUAAAUAUUUAACAUUGCUUAGCUCCUGGCAUUGCGACUCCUGGCUGACAGGUAAUAAGGUCAUCAAAACGCCAGCGCUCGAUGCGGUUUUGUCGACUGAUUUAUGAAGUUGUGUGGUCAGCAUGCAGCCAGCAGUGGAAGCGGAAGACGCCGAGGGGGUGGUGGACCGAAGGGGGCGGAAAGUGCAGCCACAGCCAGCCAACCAGCCAACCAGCCAGCCAGUCGUGACAACUCAAUCGAGGACAGCGCGCAUACGCCACGUAGUUCGCAGUCACCUUGGGGGAAAUGGGGAAUGGGGAUUGGCAAGGAUGCGUCGCUUGGUCAGUCACAGAUUUCGCCUUGUUCUCUCCUUCUUCCGGUGGCUUUUUUUGGAAAGCGAUUUAUAAGCGUUGCAAGCAUAAAUAAACAAACAGAUGUCGGCAAAAAGCAAAACAAAAUCAGACCAGGGAGGACAUCGCAUAAAGAACUGACUGGCAACAUGUGCCUGGCCUUCGUUUUUCUCGCUGGCUGCCAAUUUGUGCAGAUUUAUAGAGGCUGUCGACGUCA